rnacentral:misc_RNA from 1 species
AAAAAAAAAAAAAAAAGAAGGAAAUGUAUCAAAUUUCCCAAGAACUGAUAGUUGGUAGUUGGUACCUUUACCUAUUUCAUGAAGUUCAUGCUCAGCUUAAGUUUUUGUAUAGUUUAAACUCAUGAGUAUUUGAACCCAUUCCACUUGAAGGAUCAAACUUAAGGAUAAAAUCCUACCAUCUAAAAAUUUUCAUAUCCUACCAUCUAAAAAUUUUCAUUUCCUAUCAUUUGAUUCAUGUGGCUUUUACAUAUGC